rnacentral:rRNA from 1 species
ACGAACGCUGGCGGCACGCCUAACACAUGCAAGUCGAGCGGAGAUUGAGAGCUUGCUCUCAUGAUCAGCGGCGGACGGGUGAGUAACACGUGAGCAACCUGCCUUUCAGAGGGGGACAACAGUUGGAAACGACUGCUAAUACCGCAUAACAUUGCCGAACGGCAUCGUUUGGCAAUCAAAGGAGCAAUCCGCUGAAAGAUGGGCUCGCGUCUGAUUAGAUAGUUGGUGAGGUAACGGCCCACCAAGUCGACGAUCAGUAGCCGGACUGAGAGGUUGAUCGGCCACAUUGGGACUGAGACACGGCCCAGACUCCUACGGGAGGCAGCAGUGGGGGAUAUUGGACAAUGGGGGAAACCCUGAUCCAGCGAUGCCGCGUGAGGGAAGAAGGUUUUCGGAUUGUAAACCUCUGUGGACAGGGACGAUAAUGACGGUACCUGUUUAGAAAGCCACGGCUAACUACGUGCCAGCAGCCGCGGUAAUACGUAGGUGGCGAGCGUUGUCCGGAAUUACUGGGUGUAAAGGGAGUGUAGGCGGGAAGGCAAGUCAGAAGUGAAAAUUAUGGGCUUAACCCAUAACCUGCUUUUGAAACUGUUUUUCUUGAGUGAGGCAGAGGCAAGCGGAAUUCCUAGUGUAGCGGUGAAAUGCGUAGAUAUUAGGAGGAACACCAGUGGCGAAGGCGGCUUGCUGGGCCUUUACUGACGCUGAGGCUCGAAAGCGUGGGGAGCAAACAGGAUUAGAUACCCUGGUAGUCCACACAGUAAACGAUGAAUACUCGCUGUUUGCGAUAUACAGUAAGCGGCCAAGCGAAAGCGUUAAGUAUUCCACCUGGGGAGUACGCCGGCAACGGUGAAACUCAAAGGAAUUGACGGGGGCCCGCACAAGCAGUGGAGUAUGUGGUUUAAUUCGAAGCAACGCGAAGAACCUUACCAGGUCUUGACAUCGAGUGACGAUCCCAGAGAUGGGAUUUCCCUUCGGGGCACGAAGACAGGUGGUGCAUGGUUGUCGUCAGCUCGUGUCGUGAGAUGUUGGGUUAAGUCCCGCAACGAGCGCAACCCUUACUAUUAGUUGCUACGCAAGAGCACUCUAAUAGGACUGCCGUUGAUAAAACGGAGGAAGGUGGGGAUGACGUCAAAUCAUCAUGCCCUUUAUGACCUGGGCUACACACGUACUACAAUGGCGUUUAACAAAGAGAAGCGAAACCGCGAGGUUGAGCAAAUCCCCAAAAAACGUCUCAGUUCAGAUUGCAGGCUGCAACUCGCCUGCAUGAAGUCGGAAUUGCUAGUAAUCGUAGGUCAGCAUACUACGGUGAAUACGUUCCCGGGCCUUGUACACACCGCCCGUCAAACCAUGAGAGUUGGCAACACCCGAAGCCGGUAGUCUAACCGCAAGGAGGACGCCGUCGAAGGUGGGGUCGAUGAUUAGGGUU